AUGGAACAAUGUAGGCAAGGGAAGUCGGCAAAACGGAUCCGUAACUUCGGGAAAAGGAUUGGCUAUGAGGACUGGGCUCGGGGGUCCCGGCCCCGAACCCGUCGGCUGUCGGCGGAUUGCUCGAGCUGCUCACGCGGCAAGAGCGGGUCGCCGCAUGCCGGCCGGGGGACGGACCGGGAAUCGCCCCUUCGGGGGCUUUCCCCGAGCAUGAAACAGUCAACUCAGAACUGGUACGGACAAGGGGAAUCCGACUGUUUAAUUAAAACAAAGCAUUGUGAUGGUCCUCGCGGAUGCUGA
rnacentral:rRNA from 1 species